UCAACAUCAACCAAUUCAAUGCAUAAAUGAACUCACCUGACUUACCUUUGCCUCCACAGCACCAUGCAAUAUGUAUGCAUCAUAUAUCAAUCAUAUAAUUCAUAAACCAAUCCAUGAUUUUCAAAUAAUUCUAUGCAUGGCAUGUUCAAAACAUAUUUUCAUAUAAAACAUUUUCUGGGAAAAACAGUAGUAUAUAGGUAAUACGAAAACAAAACUGCCCACUCACCUGGAGUUCGCUCAACAACUCCCUAGCACCACACAUCAAGGCGUCAUGAAGAUUAGCGCCUAGAACAAUAAUCAAACCCAACCUCAGAAAUCCUGCCGAUAGAAUACAUAACUUAUAUAAGACACGUCACUACGUAGUUCGAUCCGGAUGAUCUGCAAUUCAGAUUUCAAAAUCCGAAACUUCCAGAGGUCCACAAUAUACCUCUAGGACAACAUCCUAAAAUUUCGUUACCAUCCAACGGUCGGAUCUCCGUCAAUUUCCAAAACUAAGUGACGGUUAACAUUCUAUUUUAUGAACUUACAAUUCUAAUUCCGGAAUAUCCGUAAAUCGGAUUCCCAAUCCGUAAGUUCCUAUAAUCCUCAAAUAUUACGUAUUACAAUGUAUCAAAGUUUGAUGACGAUCCAACGGUCGGAUCGUCAAUUCACAUUUUCACCUAACCCCGAAUCGUAACCAACUUAGGUUCAAUUAUUCAAUUUACGUCCAUCAAUUAUCAAAACAGAACCUAGAACCUUAAUCACAAGCUAAUAAUGACAUUGGCGGCCAUUGGCCACACGCCGCCGCGCGGGCCGCCGCGGGUGGCGGUUGGCCGCCCCCGGCUCGCCGGAAAAUUCAACUAUUUCCAAAAAUUACCAAAAUUUGCAGAUUUGAAGAUCUCAAUGAGUAGAACAACUUUCAUACCUGAGACCAAGGCCAAUUUGGCCUGGAAGUGCUUCAAUUUCACCAAAACCGUGAAGAACCCUAGAAUUUGGGUGUUUCCAAUUCGACCUUCAAACUUGUUCCAACGCCUCAAUUACCUCUUGGGCUUUGUUCUAGGUCCUAAAGGAAUGCUAAAGGUGUUAGUAAUUGAAAGAAAACAUUUCAAAAUUUGGAGAAUUUAAACAAAAGGGUCGCGGCACCCGUAGGGGUGUUCUUCGCGAAAUCACAACGAAAUUCAAUGAUUCUUGGGGUGAAACGUAAAGAGGGAAGGCCUAGAUGAUGAUUAGGAGUGGUACCUUGACUCAAUUCGUUGGAAAUUUGGACGGAAAUGGCGAAAACCCGCCGAUUUGGAAGCUUGGGUCGCGCGGUCAAGGGUGACCCAUUCCUCCUGUUCCCCCGCGCACCACUCUCCCUCCUUUCCCUCCUUUCCGUCCCCUGAUUGGUCAGCUUCUUCCUCUCCCUUCUUCUGGUUUGCUCUCACCUUCUUCUUCUCCGAUUGGGCAUUUCUGCCCAGUCUCUUCUUCUUUUCUGUUUUUCUGUUUCUUCUUCUCAUACACAUACACACACCAAAAACCUUUCCCUCAUCCCAGCCAUCCAUUUCAUUCAUCAAUAAAUCUGGGCCGUCCAAUUUCAUAAAAGAAUUUCUAUAUUUUACUAAAAUUAUAAUUCCUUAAAAUUCCAAAUUUCAAACGUUAAUAACUUCUUCGAUAUAACUCCAAAUCACGAACCGUCUGCGCCCACACGUCCGUAACGACGAGUACUACGAGGAUAUGUCAAGAAAACAAAUCUUAGAUGGCACGACACAACGAUUAACCUCGAAUGAUGUGCGUGCCUCGAAGGGCAUUUUUGUAAAAUCCUUUAUUAAAACUUUAAAAAUUCUUAAAAUUAGGGACGGGCUGUCACAAUCUACCCACCUUACAGAAAUUUCGUCCUCGAAAUUUACACAAUCUUUACAAUCCAUCAAUAUCCAUGAAACAGCCCGAAACACAUCUCUCUCAUUCGAUUCUUUGACUUUCAAGUAGUUUCUUCCACUGAAAGAUUCCUCCAUAAAUUUUCACCAAACUCAGAGUCUUGAAUAUCAUCCGUCCCCAAUUCUAACAAUUUCGAAACACAAGACAUAGCUUUCCCACGGCCUUAUGGCGUUACUCUAGGGAACAAACUGAAGGAACCAACAUACCCAAGAAGUUUAAACAGAUCCCAAUCUCCUUUUUUCCAUAAAACAAAUAAAUAACUGUUGCGCUUAUCUGGAAAGGUUGAUGUUCUCAUACUGAAGUAACAUGCGCUGACGUCACAAGUUAAUCAAUUAUUAUUCAAACUCCAACCUAACUAUUUGGUAUACGAGGAAGCUUGUCCAUGAAAUCCAUAGUAAUAUUCUCCCAUUUCCGCCGUGGAAUGGGAAAUGACUACAUUAUUCCAAAAGACUUAUUUCUUUCUGCUUUAACCUGAUGACUGAUGAUACGCCUACUAACAUACUUCGCCAUUCCUCUUUUCAUACCCGUCAAUAGUACAUGAACGAAUGGUAUGAUAAAUCUUAGUACUUUUGGGAUGCAUUGUAGAAGUGGAAUAAUGUACAUCGUCAAAAUUGCUUUAUUUAAUUCCACACCAUUAGGCAUAAACACUUUGUUCCCUUGCAUAAGCUUGCCAUCUGAUUCUCUAACUCUAAGGUCCUUCUUUAUCCCGUUAUUCCUUGCUUUAAAUAAAUUCUUAAAUUUCUUCGUCAAACGCUUGAGUAUCGAGUACGAUCUACCAAAUGGGUCCAACUUAGAAAUUAGCAAGUAAGGCUUAUUCUCGAUUUUUGAUACUCAACUUUACUCCAGUAGAUUUCAAAUCCACAAGAAGAUGAACAUAGCAAGCAUACCAAGCAUUAAUUCUCACUGGGGUCUUCCUACUAAAUGCAUCAGCCACAACAUUAGCUUGACCACCCUCGUCACACAAUCAUAAUCACUAAGCAACUCAUUCCACCUUUGUUGCCUAAGAUUAAGAUACCUCUGAAUAAACAGAUAUUGGGUACUCUUUUGAUUUGUAACAAUCAUGCACUUUUCUUCCCAUAAAGACAAUGUCUCCAAAUUCUCAAAGCAAAGAUGAUAGCUGCUAAUUCCAAAUUAUAAUUAGGGUAAUUCAUCUUAUGAGAUCCCAAUGGCCAUGAAGCAUAGGCAAUCAUCCUACCAUGUUGCAUCAACGCGCAUUCAAGAACAUUCAAAGAAGUAUUACUAUAGACCACGUAAUUACCACUAUCGUUUGGGAGUGCGAAAACAGAUGCAUGAGUGAGGGAAUACUUUACUUGCUGAAGCUCUACUCACAAUUUUUCAUCCCACUCAAACUUAACCUCUUUUCUCAUCAAUCUCGCCAAGGGCGAAGCAAUAAUUAAAAUCUUGGACGAACUAUCGACAAUAUCCUGCUAAUCCGAGAAAACUCUGAACCUCAGUCACGGUUGGCAAUUGUUCCAAAUUCUCAAUCGUUGCUACUCUUUUAAGAAUCCACUUGAAUACCUUAAGUAGAUAUAAUUAAUUUAUCCAACAUUAGCAUUUGCUAAACUUAGCAUACAUCAACGUUCCUUCAAUCUUUGCAACACCAACUUUAAAUAUCUAGCAUGCACUGCUCUAAUCUUAUCAAUCUCGUCAAUGGCAACAACAACAAACCGAUCUAGAUAUCACUGGAAUACUUCCUUCAGUAAGCUCAUAAAAGUAGCAGGUGCAUUCGUCACUCCGUAUGGCAUCCCAACUUGAAAUGACCAUAACGAGUCCUGGAUUCAGUCUUAUGGACAUCCCCACUGUUAAUCUUCAACUAAUAUCAUUCAGACCUCAAGUCAGUCUCAGAAAGUACCCAGGCGCCUCAGAGCUGAUCAAAUAAUAAUUAAUACACAACAAUGGAUAACAGCUCUCAAUCGUUACCCGAUUCAAUUACCUAAUAUCAAUGCCUAGCCUUAAUGUCCACUUUCUUCCUCACAAAUAAACCGGAGCUUUUCCAAUGUGAUAUAAUAAGUUGAAUGGAACUUUUAACUAAACCUGAACCAAUUUCUAACAUAGGAUUUGUACCUAAAAACAAUUCAAUAAUGGAACCCACAUCUCUGCCUGGCGGCAAUCUAGGUAAGUCAUCUGGGAAUACACCAAGAAAAUGUCUAACCAUCUUUACAUCUUCCAUACUAUUAGGAUCAACAUCAUUUAGCACCAUAUGAACUCAAUAUCUUGGCAGCCUUUUGAUAACAAUCUUCUUUGCUCUCUCAACAGGAAUAAUGGCAUAACUCACUCCACUUUACUUACCCCCAAAAGUAACCUCUGGUCAUCUAGGUCAACAAAAAUUAACUGAUUCCCCAUAGCAAUCUAGCUUGACACAAUUAUACUGCACCCACUGGUGCCAAAAAAAUCACCUCAAAAUCCAUAAUAUCCAACGGAAUAAAAUUCACUGACAUGACAUUUUUCACCAUCACUGGACACCCUUAAUAAACCAAAUCAACAUAAAGUGCCUUACUUGUUUACUUACUUAACGAAUCCAACAAAUAAGUUAUAAAUAUUACGGUCUGCAGCCCGCAAUACAAAUAACUCACUGUUGUCUCGAUAACUAAGUAACAAUUCCUGAGGGGUGUAAUAUUAUCAUCUUGUUCUUCCUUAGAAAUACAUAAAUACGCCUCGAUCGUGCUCCAACAUUACUUUCUUUGGCAACAUCGACCAUAAUAAGAAAUAUAUCAGCCGGAGUCAGCUAGAAUGACCUGUACGACUGAGUCUACAACUCGACCAUCCAUGCUAGCACAUAAGUCGGAGUCACAUAUAGUGACCUGUACGACUUACUCGUCAAUAUUUCCAAGUGAUAUGUUAAGGAAGACUAUUGGGUAACAACUGAUUCCAGGGACAAUUCAUACCUCUAUGUCCCAUCCGUCCACAUGAACACAUUCACUGAUUCCCACACUCUCCAAAGUGUCUAAUAUUAUACCUAUGGCACAAAGGUACAUUUCCCUUACUCGAGUCACCUUGUCUUUAAGAUCUGGGAUCACCCGUAAAUCUAUCACUUCGCCUCGGACCAGUGGCACUAAAACCUCAGUUGGAAGAAUUAGUUCUAACUUCACUUCUUUUGAAGCUCUGAGUCUUUCGACGUCCUUGAUAUGACGGAUCUUUAACUUUCUCACCUUUCCUCUAAUUACCAUUCUUUUCUUAUUCUUCUUUACUCUCGCUGAUCAUAUUCUCAAAGUCCUCAAAGCCCAACAACAUCUCGUAAACUCCUGGUAAAAAGUACAAUGGAUUGUGGUCGCCAAAGAACGUCACUUCUUCUUAUUAUCCCGCCAAAAAACGACAUAACACCUCGACCGGAUUAGUAACAACAUCCGAAUGGAAACAAGGCAAGUCUGUAUUCAAAUUUAACUUAUAAUCAGUCUCAAAGGUUCCUUUAGAUAAUAGACUGAAUCAUAGUGACAAUAAUUUCCCCCAAACUACUAUAUCAGGGAAUUUAGGCUCAUCCGAACUACGUGGCUCGCUAUGAGGCGGUAUAUAGUUCUGACAGAAGACACUAGGAAAUUCUCAAGAUGUCCAGAAUUGCAACCUAGGCUCUGAUACCAACUGACACACCCGUCCCGACACCCGUCCCGAAGUGAGGGCGUGCUGGCCGUCACGUGAGAGUGACGUAACCAUUUACAUAGUUCAGAAGCUUUAAAAAAAAAUUUCCAAUUACUAAGAUGACACACCCGAGGGUGAGUCCUACUUUUGUGAAUUCUGUCAGAACACCGUUGGAUUCCUCGUGGCCACCAAAGCUCUGCUAACUUGAACCUGGAGGGGCGCAAAACAAAAUUGAGUGGGUCAGUAAAAACAAAGUUUUUUGAAAACUUUUCAUUUAAAAUAUUUCUAACCCCUCACCGUAAAACCUGUAUACUUUCCCAGAAAAUAGCAUAUAUAUAAACAUAUAUAUAAGCAAAAAUCUCAAAUCUCAAACCUUUAACACUUUUCAGAAAAAUAUAUAUAUAUAUAUAACCAUAUGAAAUCUCAAAACUUGAAUCCCAAAUCUUUAACAUUUUUCAAGAAAAACAUGCCAUGCCAUAAAUCAAAAUAUAAAUCAGGUGAAAUAAGGAAUCAAUCGGAGACCCUGCAGUUGGUCCUAUACGAUUAAUUCAAUAGCUCAAUAUCUCACUAAGCCGGAGUCACCACAGUGACCUAUACGGCCCUACUCUGCACAUCACUCGGAACUACGUAAGGUAGUCUGUACGAUGAAAGGUGUAAAAAUACGCUCUAGUGCUUCUCUCAUCAUAUCAUCAGCGCGCAUAACUAAGGUCACCCACUAGUCGGAAUCACGCCUAGUGAUCUGUACGACUAGCAUGUCGGAACCCUCACAUGGUCUGUACGACAUCCACCUACUUGGAUCCAAGGCGAGCGUGCGGUGUGGUGAAUAAAAUAAGCACUAACACCUAGGGUGCAGAUUAUGAGCUCAAAUUAUAUCAACAUCAACCAAUUCAAUGCAUAAAUGAACUCACCUGACUUACCUUUGCCUCCACAGCACCAUGCAAUAUGUAUGCAUCAUAUAUCAAUCAUAUAAUUCAUAAACCAAUCCAUGAUUUUCAAAUAAUUCUAUGCAUGGCAUGUUCAAAACAUAUUUUCAUAUAAAACAUUUUCUGGGAAAAACAGUAGUAUAUAGGUAAUACGAAAACAAAACUGCCCACUCACCUGGAGUUCGCUCAACAACUCCCUAGCACCACACAUCAAGGCGUCAUGAAGAUUAGCGCCUAGAACAAUAAUCAAACCCAACCUCAGAAAUCCUGCCGAUAGAAUACAUAACUUAUAUAAGACACGUCACUACGUAGUUCGAUCCGGAUGAUCUGCAAUUCAGAUUUCAAAUCCGAAACUUCCAGAGGUCCACAAUAUACCUCUAGGACAACAUCCUAAAAUUUCGUUACCAUCCAACGGUCGGAUCUCCGUCAAUUUCCAAAACUAAGUGACGGUUAACAUUCUAUUUU
rnacentral:lncRNA from 1 species